AUCCUUACCUGGCAAGGGUGAUAUGAUGAUCACAAAGGUGGUUUUCCCAGGGCAAAGCUUAUCUAUUGCACUGGAUGUGCUGCCCCUGUAAUUUCCUCAAACGUGGGAAAUUCAACUGCAAUAGUUUGUGAUACUAUGGUAAUUGGGGAUUGGUUUCUACCUUUCCCUAA
ensembl:snRNA U1 U1 spliceosomal RNA